rnacentral:rRNA from 1 species
CAGUAGGGAGGAAGGUAGUGUAGUUAACACCUGCAUAUUUGACGUUACCUACAGAAGAAGCACCGGCUAACUCCGUGCCAGCAGCCGCGGUAAUACGGAGGGUGCGAGCGUUAAUCGGAAUUACUGGGCGUAAAGCGCAUGCAGGCGGCCUGUUAAGUCAGAUGUGAAAGACCCGGGGCGUUAACCUCGGAAUUGCAUUUGAAACUGGCAGGCUAGAGUCUUGUAGAGGGGGGUAGGAAUUUCAGGUGUAGCGGUGAAAUGCGUAGAGAUCUGAAGGAAUACCAGUGGCGAAGGCGGCCCCCUCGGACAAAGACUGACGCUCAGAUGCGAAAGCGUGGGGAGCAAACAGGAUUAGAUACCCUGGUAG